AUUGUGAUGGUUGCUGGAACAAUCUUCCUUCUAAUGAUCCCAUUUCAGUUUUAAGUUCUCAGUUGCUAUGACUUGGAAUGAUAUCCUUGGUAGUCGUCUCUCCUGCACUACCUUUUUGUUAACUUAAAACAUAUUUCCUGACUGAAUGUUUUCGUGAUUUAAAGGUACCAAGGAUUGUUUAGAGACUACAUUGUUGUUUUCUAGCUUGGAGAAGCAACAUCAACUUGGGAUGCAGAUUCACCAGUAUAUGUACAUGCGUCUCAUAGGGGGGGAGCUCUUGCACGGAUAUCCUUGAAACGAGCCAAGAACCACUAAAUUUGUGUGCUCAGGAACAUGCAGAUCAUGACCAUAAUGUCACUUUGGAUGCUUCUCCCCAAGAUUUGAAUCUGGAGCCUGGCGCAGGUGUUGAAGGGAUGGUUGGAUUUUUAUUGAUAAUGCAUCUGGAACUAAUUCACUCAGCUUUGUCCCUCCUGGGAAGGCAACCUCUUGAUAGUUAAUGAUUUUGGGUGCAUGUAUAGAUAGCAUGUUGUAACAAGUUUUUUUUGUUACUCAGCGUGACCAACAUUGCUUGUACAUAUUGGUCAAGGUGUUCUACUUG